rnacentral:rRNA from 1 species
AUGGAGCUGGGGGGUAGAGUUAGUAGAGGGAAGGAAGUAGAUGAUGCAGGGAAGGAGAUGGAGAUAGGAGAGGGAAGCCAGUUGGCGGAUGGAGUUGGAGAUGGCAGGGCGCCGGUGGAGCCGGGAGCAGAUCUUGGCGCGGCAGUCGGGGAGGAUGAAGAUGAAGAUUGGGGCUAUGGCCCAGAACCAGAUCUGGAGGACAAAUUCACAGGUAUGCAUCUACAUGGGGAGGAGGAGGACGAUCUGGACCUGUCGGGCGAGGUUGAAGACCUGAUUGAAGGAGUGCGCUGGCUAAGUCUGUUUAGGGUUCACACUACCAAACCCUUCAGCCAUGCUGCGCUGCUCAGGCAGAUGAGGAACGUGUGGGCGUCUGCACAGGGUGUGACAAUUAACGUGAAGGGCCUGAACUUGUUCCUAGUUCAGUGUCAUUGCCUUGGAGAGUGGAAGAGGGUGAUGGAAGGAGGGCCAUGA